rnacentral:tRNA from 1 species
CGGCCACCUUGCAGGCGCUGGCUGCCGGGCGGCCUCUUGAGCCGCUGCUGCGCGCCUUUGAAUGGCGUGUGCUCGA